rnacentral:tRNA from 2 species
GGGCGGUUGGCGCAGUGGUAGCGCGCUUCCCUGACACGGAAGAGGUCACUGGUUCAAACCCAGUAUCGCCCA